rnacentral:rRNA from 1 species
UACGAAGGGGGCUAGCGUUGCUCGGAAUCACUGGGCGUAAAGCGCACGUAGGCGGAUUGCUAAGUCAGGGGUGAAAUCCUGGAGCUCAGCUCCAGAACUGCCUUUGAUACUGGCGAUCUUGAGUCCGGGAGAGGUGAGUGGAACUGCGAGUGUAGAGGUGAAAUUCGUAGAUAUUCGCAAGAACACCAGUGGCGAAGGCGGCUCACUGGCCCGGUACUGACGCUGAGGUGCGAAAGCGUGGGGAGCAAACAGG